CGCUGGCGGCACGCCUUAUACAUGCAAGUCGAACGAAGUAGCAAUACUUAGUGGCAGACGGGUGAGUAACAUGUAGGUAUCUUCCCUUUGGUGAGGAAUAACACGAGGAAACUUGUGCUAAUACCUCAUAAGUCUUUACGGAGAAAGCUUUAUGCGCCAAUGGAUGAGCCUGCACUUGAUUAGUUUGUUGGUGGGGUAAUGGCCUACCAAGACUUUGAUCUAUAGCUGAUCUGAGAGGAUGAUCAGCCACAUUGGGACUGAGACACGGCCCAAACUCCUACGGGAGGCAGCAGUAGGGAAUAUUGCACAAUGGAGGAAACUCUGAUGCAGCGAUGCCGCGUGAGUGAAGAAGGCCUUUGGGUUGUAAAGCUCUUUCGUCGGGGAAGAAAAUGACUGUACCCGAAUAAGAAGGUCCGGCUAACUUCGUGCCAGCAGCCGCGGUAAUACGAAGGGACCUAGCGUAGUUCGGAAUUACUGGGCUUAAAGAGUUCGUAGGUGGUUAAAAAAGUUGGUGGUGAAAUCCCAGAGCUUAACUCUGGAACUGCCAUCAAAACUUUUUAGCUAGAGUGUGAUAGAGGAAAGCAGAAUUUCUAGUGUAGAGGUGAAAUUCGUAGAUAUUAGAAAGAAUACCAAUUGCGAAGGCAGCUUUCUGGAUCAUUACUGACGCUGAGGAACGAAAGCAUGGGUAGCGAAGAGGAUUAGAUACCCUCGUAGUCCAUGCCGUAAACGAUGUGUGUUAGACGUUGGAAAUUUAUUUUCAGUGUCGCAGCGAAAGCAUUAAACACACCGCCUGGGGAGUACG
rnacentral:rRNA from 1 species